UUUCUUUUAUUCUAUUUUAAGGCAGUUUCUCCCUUUUUUUAAGGUUGCUUUUUGUUUUCAUUAAUAAUUACUAUGCAUCUUUCUUCCAAAUUGAUCAGAAUUCAACCACUAGCCUUUAAACUACUUCAUUUAAGGACUGUGGCUUUUUCUUUCAGUCUUUCCAGGUAUCAUUUUGUAAUCGCUUUCUUAUUUGAAUUGAGGAAGAGGAAAUGUCUUUAUCUGUUAUGUUAGUGAAGGAUAAAAUGCAGGUUGAUCAAGAAGAAGGAGGGCAUCAAAAAUGUCAUCCUGAACACACCCCAGAAGAGGAAAUUGAUCAUACAGGAGCCAAAACAAAGUCAGCUGUCUCAGACAAACAAGACCGAUUAAAUCAGACACUUAAAAAAGGAAAAGUCAAAAGUAUUGAUCUACCGAUCCAGAGUAGCCUAUGUA
rnacentral:sRNA from 1 species